UCGGAUUGCAGUCUGCAACUCGACUGCAUGAAGCUGGAAUCGCUAGUAAUCGCGAAUCAGAAUGUCGCGGUGAAUACGUUCCCGGGCCUUGUACACACCGCCCGUCACACCAUGGGAGCCGGGAAUGCCCGAAGUCAGUGGCCCAACCGAAAGGGGGGAGCUGCCGAAGGCAGGCCUGGUGACUGGGGUGAAGUCGUAACAAGGUAAC
rnacentral:rRNA from 1 species